rnacentral:rRNA from 1 species
UAAGCGGAGGAAAAGAAACCAACAGGGAUUGCCUCAGUAACGGCGAGUGAAGCGGCAAAAGCUCAAAUUUGAAAUCUGGUACCUUUGGUGCCCGAGUUGUAAUUUGAAGAUAGUUUUCUGGUGCUGGCCCUUGUCUAUGUUCCUUGGAACAGGACGUCACAGAGGGUGAGAAUCCCGUCUGGCGGGGUGUCCAGUGCUUUGUAGAUUUCUAUCGACGAGUCGAGUUGUUUGGGAAUGCAGCUCUAAGUGGGUGGUAAAUUCCAUCUAAAGCUAAAUAUUGGCGAGAGACCGAUAGCGAACAAGUACAGUGAUGGAAAGAUGAAAAGAACUUUGAAAAGAGAGUGAAAAAGUACGUGAAAUUGUUGAAAGGGAAGGGUAUUAGAUCAGACUUGGUGUUUUGUGAUUAUCUUCCCUUCUUGGGUUGUGCACUCGCAUUUCACUGGGCCAGCAUCGGUUCGGGUGGUAAGAUAAUGACAUUGGAACGUGGCACUGCCUUCGGGUGGUGUGUUAUAGCCCUUGUUGAUGUUGCCUACCUGGACCGAGGACUGCGGCUUUUGCCUAGGAUGCUGGCGUAAUGAUCUAACACCGC